AGUUCACGGCAAAUUCGACCCCAUAGCAUUUACGGUCUCCCAGACAACGGCUUAAUACUCUGCAGCAACAACGAUACCCUUUAAUGACGUUGUGACUGGAGGCCUUGUUUUGAGGGUUUUUUGCAGACCAGUGGUAAUCGGCUUGUGGAUUUUAAAGAAAAACUGUUGACUGCCCCCUUUCACGAAAGUAUGAUGUUCGUUUGCACGCAAAUGCCAAGGAUUACGCUUCCAUUAAUGUGCAACACCUGUAGCAGACGAGUUUUCUCUGACCUAAACUGCACUUCGGUGUUUUUGUCCGCUAUUAACCCACAAUAAACACUCACAUGUCCCCUAAAAAAACUAAUUAGACCAUGUGGCGGAAGGUCGCCAUUAGAGCAGAUUAAAAGUGGAAACAUAAGACAAAUAAAGCGUGCUUAGAAAACAUAAUAUUACCGUUUUCGGUGCAAAAUUGAGAUGGACACACGCUACGAUAGAAUUUGUUUAAUCCAUUAGGUGACAAGAUGAGCCGACGGUCAAACAGGUCGGGUCUGUACAUGGAUUCCGACGAGGAAAGAAGGACGCUGUUUAUCAACGAAAAAGAGGAGACAAUCAUCCAGCAGUGGCGGCAGAUGGAAGCCAAGACACAAAACGCCGUGUUACUAGCAGAUAAUCCAAACAUCUGCAUCAUUUUGUGAGUGAGUGGUUGUGUGUGUAGUGAGAUGUGAUGAGUCCAUAACCUACAACCUACUAUUCAGAUAUGCGGUGCUGUUCAAAGGGUAAUAUGAGCCGUCGGAGCCGCCAGAGACGCCGAAGCCGUCGGAGCCUCAAGAGCAGUCGGAGCCGUCGGAGUAACUUAAUUUGAAGGAACACGUACCACGUGACUAUUUACUAUAUAAAGGACUUACUGAGUACGGAAUGUUAGCAGUCAAGAACCAGAUCAACGUGCCAUCAUACAAACAGUCAUUUGCUGGCAGGAUGGUUCCCAGAAUGCGGUGCACUGCAGCAGGCCUGGUGUGUUACACCACGCGGUCACUGUUAGCAUCCUGAUGUCCACUGUUGAGGACUUGCAGCACUUAAUGUCCGUGUUCCACUACUGGAGACGGAGGAAGGUGUUAUAAUAGAGGUUAAAUUGCGAGAAAUUUUCAACUGAUAACAAUUAGGGAUGAAAGAUGGCAAACAAGCUAAUGGACAUGUUGAACAAAAUUCACAAGAGGGCCAGAACCACUGUACGGAAAUUAAUCUAAUAUCAGAAAGGACAUCCUGACCAUCAGACUCAUGAUUUUACAAUAUAAAAUUUGAAGAUGCAGAGGAGAUUGCAGCAGACAUGGAGGUUUCCCCUAUCACUGAUGAUCACUUACCUAUGGACGGAGAAAGCAAGGUAUUAAGAGUUAAUCCCUAACCUUGUCAGCCAUUCAGAAAGGCAAAAAGGCAAAGAGAGUGAGACAGACCCAGUUGGAGAAAAGAUAGGAAGAGUAUGUAUCUAGAUGAGACAAGGAAACAUCACACGUAUAACAAGCCUGUGCAAAACCAAUAACUUAAUACCAAACCUUAAAUUAUGUACAGGCCAAUACACAUCAGAAUCAAGUAAAAGAAAGCCGCCAAUUGGAAUACAAUAGAGCUUCUCAAAACAUUACUAACGGAAAGUCUUAGAGAGAACAGGAGGACACUUAUCUGUUUGAAGGACACACAAAACAACAACAUACAGCACAACAUGACACUUUGACCUAUGACUCUGGUUACCUGCGUUACCACCUCCAGUGCAGAUGUGGCUGCAGACAUUCCAGAGGUCAUUGUGGCCAGCAUCCAGCCAUCGAGACCCACGUAGCUCAGGAACUUGCCU